ACGGAGUAGCCGAAAAUCCGACAAAGAGUAGGCA
rfam:Niastella yeongjuensis strain 17621 contig7, whole genome shotgun sequence.